rnacentral:rRNA from 1 species
GACGAACGCUGGCGGCGUGCUUAACACAUGCAAGUCGAGCGGUAAGGCCCUUUCGGGGGUACACGAGCGGCGAACGGGUGAGUAACACGUGGGUGACCUGCCCUCAGCUCUGGGAUAAGCCUGGGAAACCGGGUCUAAUACUGGAUAUGACUCCAUGACGCAUGUUGUGGGGUGGAAAGCCUUGUGCGGCUGAGGAUGGGCCCGCGGCCUAUCUAGCUUGUUGGUGGGGUGANGGCCUACCAAGGCGACGACGGGUAGCCGGCCUGAGAGGGCGACCGGCCACACUGGGACUGAGACACGGCCCAGACUCCUACGGGAGGCAGCAGUGGGGAAUCUUGCGCAAUGGGCGAAAG